GACAGAGGGUGCAAACGUUGUUCGGAUUUACUGGGCGUAAAGCGCGUGUAGGCGGCUUUGCAAGUCGGAUGUGAAAUCCCACGGCUCAACCGUGGAAGUGCAUCCGAAACUGCAUCGCUGGAGUCUCGGAGAGGAAGGUGGAAUGCUUGGUGUAGAGGUGAAAUUCGUAGAUAUCAAGCAGAACACCUGCGGCGAAGGCGGCUCACUGGCCCGAUACUGACGCUGAGGCACGAAAGCGUGGGGAGCAAACAGG
rnacentral:rRNA from 1 species